UAUAUACUCCCUCUGUUUCAAAUUACUUGUCUUGGAUUUGUCUAGAUACGGGCGUAUCUAGACUCAUUUUAGUGCUAGAUACCUCCGUAUCUAGACAAAUCUAAGACAAGUAAUUCGGAACGGAGGGAGUAUAAA
rfam:Triticum aestivum genome assembly, contig: Triticum_aestivum_CS42_TGACv1_scaffold_094065_2AL